UUUUCUGUGCUAUGUGCAGCAAUGAAGUAAUGAAUUCAAGACAACGACGCGACAUGAUCUAACACAGCCGAACGAAUCGUACAAUUACAGAAAAUAGUUCAGCUUCUGUGUACCAUAUCCUUACACCUAGGACUGUGGACAAAUUAAUGAAUAAGCAAGGAGAGUUGGUUUGCAACAAAUGGCGGUGUCAUUCUAGGUUUUGGAUUGGUGAUCAUUGUUUUAGAAUUGGUUGUGUCCCGGAAGUUCUUUGCACAGAUUUGUGACCGCUAUGCCACGUCUCCAUAGGAGGAGCAGUAUACAAAGGUUGAACACACCGGGAGAACUGGGGCGGAACUCGCUGGGUAGUUCAAGAAACAGUGAACUUUCGAGCCAAACGUCACUUCCGGAUGAUGUCAGUUUCCUUUUCCCUGCCCUUGUCAUUGGGUCAGUUGUAUUCGUCAUCAUAGCUGCUCUGUUAUAUUCACUGUUCUGGCGAAAGUCAAAAAUUUAAAAAAAUCAGUGACAGACCACAAGAUUAUUUUCAAUCAGGACUCGGUAUUAUGACCUUGAUUUAAUUGUUUGAGACUUCCUAUUCCUGGCAUAAACAGAAAUUCGAUAGUCUUAAUUUGUGAUUAAGUAUAAUGUGGGAAUUUCAUACGUUUCUCUCGUGUUAGACUGAUACUGUUCAUGUGUUGUUUUUCCUUAGCACAAGUAAGUUGUGAAUAGAUAGACGAUGGAUAUAGUGAAAAAUUUAUGUACUUUUUAAUCAACUUUUCAUUAAAUUAAUGAGGCAAGGGGGGGGGGCUGGUGAAAAGAGAUUAUAUGACAAAUAUUUGUAUUAUCUCCAAGCACGUUUAAAUUUACAUAGUUUAGAAGUUUAUUCCAAUUUAAAAAAUAAGAAAACAUUACUAAUUAAAAAUCAAGUUUUUUUUAUCAAUUAAUAAACGAAGGUGUUGUUUGAUAAAUGCAAGUAUUUGUAUGUUUUGUCUUUUCGGGGUUCACGACAAACUAUUUAUUGCAAUGUUUAAUCUUCAGGUAAUUUUAUACAACCAUUAAAUAAUGUGUUUAUUUUUCACUU
rnacentral:sRNA from 1 species